rnacentral:rRNA from 1 species
UACAGAGGGGGCGAGCGUUGUUCGGAAUUACUGGGCGUAAAGGGUGCGUAGGCGGGUCUUUUAAGUCAGGGGUGAAAUCCUGGAGCUCAACUCCAGAACUGCCUUUGAUACUGGCGAUCUUGAGUCCGGGAGAGGUGAGUGGAACUGCGAGUGUAGAGGUGAAAUUCGUAGAUAUUCGCAAGAACACCAGUGGCGAAGGCGGCUCACUGGCCCGGUACUGACGCUGAGGUGCGAAAGCGUGGGGAGCAAACAGGG